rnacentral:rRNA from 1 species
UACGUAGGGGGCAAGCGUUGUCCGGAUUUAUUGGGCGUAAAGAGCGUGUAGGCGGCCAUACAGGUCCGUUGUGAAAACUGGAGGCUUAACCUCCAGACGUCGAUGGAAACCGUAUGGCUAGGACGUCGAAGAGGAGAGUGGAAUUCCUGGUGUAGCGGUGAAAUGCGUAGAUAUCUGGAGGAACACCGGUGGCGAAGGCGGCAUCCUGGACCAACACUGACGCUGAGUGAGCGAAAGCCAGGGGAGCAAACGGG